GAUGAACGCUGGCGGCGUGCCUAAUACAUGCAAGUCGAGCGAAUGGAUUAAGAGCUUGCUCUUAUGAAGUUAGCGGCGGACGGGUGAGUAACACGUGGGUAACCUGCCCAUAAGACUGGGAUAACUCCGGGAAACCGGGGCUAAUACCGGAUAACAUUUUGAACCGCAUGGUUCGAAAUUGAAAGGCGGAUUCGGCUGUCACUUAUGGAUGGACCCGCGUCGCAUUAGUUAGUUGGUGAGGUAACGGCUCACCAAGGCAACGAUGCGUAUCCGACCUGAGAGGGUGAUCGGCCACACUGGGACUGAGACACGGCCCAGACUCCUACGGGAGGCAGCAGUAGGGAAUCUUCCGCAAUGGACGAAAGUCUGACGGAGCAACGCCGCGUGAGUGAUGAAGGCUUUCGGGUCGUAAAACUCUGUUGUUAGGGAAGAACAAGUGCUAGUUGAAUAAGCUGGCACCUUGACGGUACCUAACCAGAAAGCCACGGCUAACUACGUGCCAGCAGCCGCCGCAG
rnacentral:rRNA from 1 species